AGUCCACUCCCGGGCGGGGAGCGUUCACAGCCGCUCUCGGCCUUAGCCCUCGCAAGGCAUGCUGGGGGAGGUAUGCCUCUUGGCCCGCGAAGCUUGCUGGGAGUUGUAGUCCUCGUGAGGUAAUCGGAAGAACUUCGGGAGUUCCUCGCAAGUUAUUCUGGGAAGGGUAACCUGUCUCCUUGGGGGGUGUAGUUUCCUCAGAGGGCGGGCGGUGGGGUGUAUGCCGUGUCUGCAGACAGUGCUGGGGAGCUGCAGCGUCGGGGCCCCCUCAGAGCACAGCUCUCCCCCCAGUGGCCCCGGAGUCCUCCCCAUGGACUAGGCUUGGCACAACUCGAUUCUUUAAUAUAUUUUUGAAAAUAACGUUCACAGAUAAUAUCGAGCAAUCACCAGUGUGCUCAGUGCUUGAAGUUAAGAAGAAGAAGUGGAAGUGCUGGGGUUGCCAGCUAAUGGCAGAUGCUGGAUGUUUUGAGCUUUUCCUACAAGCAGGUGAAAGGAAACUUUGUGCACUACUCUGCUACUUUCCUUGAGGCUUUCAGGCCUGAUCUGCAAACGCUUCUCAAUUAAUGGUGGAAUAAAUUGACCAACAGGACAAACAAUUGAAAGCUGGGGAAAUGUGCCUUG